rnacentral:lncRNA from 1 species
AAGGGUGAUAAACCUUGUCCCGAUCUCUUAGACUAAGAAUCAAGGAGAAGUUGGGAAAGGGCCAAAACACUUAAAGUAGGGAGAAAUUGUGGCCGAAUUACAGUAGGAGUCUAACGGGGACUACAACUCCCAGAGACCCAUGCGGCAAAGACCGAGUUUAUUGGUUAGUAGGCAGACCCUCCCCUUUCGUGACACAUGCAAAAGCCAAUAGAAAGAGGGCAUUGCCGAUUUACUAGCUACCGCUCGCCUAUCAGAGGACUGGAGUCUGUGCUUCCGGUUGAUGCCCUGGGAGUCUGACCUGCGGUCGGCUAAGGGGGGCUGCGUGGGAGGGGCCUGUUAUGUGUGUGUGCUUCCCGAACGAAGGCAGAGUUAUACAGUGAGAGAGAGAAAAAAAGGUCUUCCUUCUGUUGGUUCACCCCCCAAAAAAGGACUAUUUUUUUUAAAGAUUUAUUUAUUUAUUUGAAAGUCAGAGUUACAGAGGAGGAGAGGCAGAGGCUGAGAGAGGUCUCCCGUUUGCUGCUUCACUCCCCAAAUGUCCACAACGGCCAGGGCUGGGCAAAGCCAAAACCAGGAGCUUCAUCCGGGUCUCCCACAUGAUACAGGAGUCCAAGCACUGGGGCCCUUCUCAGGCCAUUAGCAGGCAGCUGGAUGGGAAGUGGAGUAGCUGUACUGGAUCUGGUGCUCAUUUGGGAUGCCAGCAUUGCAGACAGUAACCUAACCUGUAAGCCACAGCACGAGCCCCUACAUUAUCUCUCUCUCUCUCUCUCUUUUUUUAAGACUUAUUUAUUUAUUUGAAAGUCAGAGUUACACAGAGAAAGGUCUUCUAUCUGCUGGUUCAUUCCCCAAUUGGAUGCAGUGGCUGGAGCUGUGCCAAUCCAAAGCCAGGAGCCAGGAGCUUCUUCUGGGUCUCCCAUGCGGGUGCAAGGGCCCAAACACUUGGACCAUCCUCUACUGCUUUCCCAGGCUAUAGCAGAGAGCUGGACUAGAAGUGGAGCAGCCGGGUCUUGAACGGGUGCCCAAAUGGGAUGCCAGCACUGCAGGUGGCGGCUUAACCCACUACACCACAGCACCAGCCACUACAUUAUCUUUUAAUUCUAUUUCUUAUAAACUUUUGGAAGCCCCUCAUGUGUGGACAUAAAUAAGCACGUAUUUAUGUUUUGUGACUAUACUGCUCUCUAAAAAGCACUUCUUUUAAAAAAAUUAUUUUUGGAAUGUAGAGCAUGAGUGAUAGGAGGAGGAAAAGAGAGAAUAGAGAAAGAGAUCUUCCAUUCACCAGUUCAUUUCCCAAAUGGCUGUUAACAGUCCGGGCUGGGCCAGGCCAAAGCCAAGAGCCAGGAACUACACCCUAGUUUUCCACAAGGGUGGCAUGGAUGCCAUCAUCUGCUGCCUUCCCAGACACGUUAGCUGGAAACAGAGCAGCCAGGACUUGAACCAGCACUUUGAUAUGGGAUGCCAGUGGCUCUGAUAUGGGUUAAGCAUUGGCUUACCCUGCUACUCCACAACUUGGCCUCUUAAAUUUUUUUUAAAGUAGGUUAUUUUUUCUUUAUUUGAAAGGCAGAAACGGGGCUAACAUUAUGCUGUGGGAGGUUAAGCCUCUGCCUGCAGUGCCAGCAUCCCAUACAGCCAGUGGUUCAAGUCCCAGCUGCCCCACUUCUGAUCCAGCUCUCUGCUAAAUCGCCUGGGAAAGCAGUGGAUGAUGGCCCAAGUGCUUGGGCCCCUGCUUCCACUUGGGAGACCCAAAGGAAGCCCCUAGCUCCUAGCCCAGCCCAGCCCCAGUCAUUGCAGUCAUUUGGGGAGUGAAUCAGCAGAUGGAAAACUUCUCUCUCUCUCUCUCUCUCUCUCUCUCUCUCUCUCUCUCUAACUCUGCCUUUCAAAUAAAUAAAAUAAAUCUUAGAGAGAGACCGACUCA